rnacentral:rRNA from 1 species
UGGGGAAUAUUGCACAAUGGGCGCAAGCCUGAUGCAGCCAUGCCGCGUGUAUGAAGAAGGCCUUCGGGUUGUAAAGUACUUUCAGCGAGGAGGAAGGCGUUGUGGUUAAUAACCGCAGCGAUUGACGUUACUCGCAGAAGAAGCACCGGCUAACUCCGUUCCAGCAGCCGCGGUAAUACGGAGGGUGCAAGCGUUAAUCGGAAUUACUGGGCGUAAAGCGCACGCAGGCGGUCUGUCAAGUCGGAUGUGAAAUCCCCGGGCUCAACCUGGGAACUGCAUCCGAAACUGGCAGGCUAGAGUCUUGUAGAGGGGGGUAGAAUUCCAGGUGUAGCGGUGAAAUGCGUAGAGAUCUGGAGGAAUACCGGUGGCGAAGGCGGCCCCCUGGACAAAGACUGACGCUCAGGUGCGAAAGCGUGGGGAGCAAACA